UCCGUAGUUUUGACCAUUUUAUC
rnacentral:miRNA from 14 species